rnacentral:rRNA from 1 species
GGUUAAGCGACUAAGCGUACACGGUGGAUGCCCUGGCAGUCAGAGGCGAUGAAGGACGUGCUAAUCUGCGAAAAGCGUCGGUAAGGUGAUAUGAACCGUUAUAACCGGCGAUGUCCGAAUGGGGAAACCCAGUGCAAUUCGUUGCACUAUCGUUAACUGAAUACAUAGGUUAACGAGGCGAACCGGGGGAACUGAAACAUCUAAGUACCCCGAGGAAAAGAAAUCAACCGAGAUUCCCCCAGUAGCGGCGAGCGAACGGGGAGCAGCCCAGAGUCUGAAUCAGCUUGUGUGUUAGUGGAACGGUCUGGAAAGUCCGACGGUACAGGGUGAUAGUCCCGUACACCAAAAUGCACAGGCUGUGAACUCGAAGAGUAGGGCGGGACACGUGGUAUCCUGUCUGAAUAUGGGGGGACCAUCCUCCAAGGCUAAAUACUCCUGACUGACCGAUAGUGAACCAGUACCGUGAGGGAAAGGCGAAAAGAACCCCGGCGAGGGGAGUGAAAAAGAACCUGAAACCGUGUACGUACAAGCAGUGGGAGCACCUUCGGGUGUGACUGCGUACCUUUUGUAUAAUGGGUCAGCGACUUAUAUUCUGUAGCAAGGUUAACCGUAUAGGGGAGCCGCAGGGAAACCGAGUCUUAACUGGGCGUUAAGUUGCAGGGUAUAGACCCGAAACCCGGUGAUCUAGCCAUGGGCAGGUUGAAGGUUGGGUAACACUAACUGGAGGACCGAACCGACUAAUGUUGAAAAAUUAGCGGAUGACUUGUGGCUGGGGGUGAAAGGCCAAUCAAACCGGGAGAUAGCUGGUUCUCCCCGAAAGCUAUUUAGGUAGCGCCUCGUGAAUUCAUCUUCGGGGGUAGAGCACUGUUUCGGCUAGGGGGUCAUCCCGACUUACCAACCCGAUGCAAACUACGAAUACCGAAGAAUGUUAUCACGGGAGACACACGGCGGGUGCUAACGUCCGUCGUGAAGAGGGAAACAACCCAGACCGCCAGCUAAGGUCCCAAAGUCAUGGUUAAGUGGGAAACGAUGUGGGAAGGCACAGACAGCCAGGAUGUUGGCUUAGAAGCAGCCAUCAUUUAAAGAAAGCGUAAUAGCUCACUGGUCGAGUCGGCCUGCGCGGAAGAUGUAACGGGGCUAAACCAUGCACCGAAGCUGCGGCAGCGACACUAUGUGUUGUUGGGUAGGGGAGCGUUCUGUAAGCCUGCGAAGGUGACCUGUGAGGGUUGCUGGAGGUAUCAGAAGUGCGAAUGCUGACAUAAGUAACGAUAAAGCGGGUGAAAAGCCCGCUCGCCGGAAGACCAAGGGUUCCUGUCCAACGUUAAUCGGGGCAGGGUGAGUCGACCCCUAAGGCGAGGCCGAAAGGCGUAGUCGAUGGGAAACAGGUUAAUAUUCCUGUACUUGGUGUUACUGCGAAGGGGGGACGGAGAAGGCUAUGUUAGCCGGGCGACGGUUGUCCCGGUUUAAGCAUGUAGGCUGGUUGUCCAGGCAAAUCCGGAUAAUCAAGGCUGAGGUGUGAUGACGAGGUACUACGGUGCUGAAGUAACAAAUGCCCUGCUUCCAGGAAAAGCCUCUAAGCAUCAGGUAACAUCAAAUCGUACCCCAAACCGACACAGGUGGUCAGGUAGAGAAUACCAAGGCGCUUGAGAGAACUCGGGUGAAGGAACUAGGCAAAAUGGUGCCGUAACUUCGGGAGAAGGCACGCUGGUGUGUAGGUGAAGUCCCUGCGGAUGGAGCUGAGACCAGUCGAAGAUACCAGCUGGCUGCAACUGUUUAUUAAAAACACAGCACUGUGCAAACACGAAAGUGGACGUAUACGGUGUGACGCCUGCCCGGUGCCGGAAGGUUAAUUGAUGGGGUUAUCCGUAAGGAGAAGCUCUUGAUCGAAGCCCCGGUAAACGGCGGCCGUAACUAUAACGGUCCUAAGGUAGCGAAAUUCCUUGUCGGGUAAGUUCCGACCUGCACGAAUGGCGUAAUGAUGGCCAGGCUGUCUCCACCCGAGACUCAGUGAAAUUGAACUCGCUGUGAAGAUGCAGUGUACCCGCGGCAAGACGGAAAGACCCCGUGAACCUUUACUAUAGCUUGACACUGAACAUUGAGCCUUGAUGUGUAGGAUAGGUGGGAGGCUUUGAAGCGUGGACGCCAGUCUGCGUGGAGCCAACCUUGAAAUACCACCCUUUAAUGUUUGAUGUUCUAACGUUGGCCCCUGACCGGGGUUGCGGACAGUGUCUGGUGGGUAGUUUGACUGGGGCGGUCUCCUCCCAAAGCGUAACGGAGGAGCACGAAGGUUAGCUAAUCCUGGUCGGACAUCAGGAGGUUAGUGCAAUGGCAUAAGCUAGCUUGACUGCGAGCGUGACGGCGCGAGCAGGUGCGAAAGCAGGUCAUAGUGAUCCGGUGGUUCUGAAUGGAAGGGCCAUCGCUCAACGGAUAAAAGGUACUCCGGGGAUAACAGGCUGAUACCGCCCAAGAGUUCAUAUCGACGGCGGUGUUUGGCACCUCGAUGUCGGCUCAUCACAUCCUGGGGCUGAAGUAGGUCCCAAGGGUAUGGCUGUUCGCCAUUUAAAGUGGUACGCGAGCUGGGUUUAGAACGUCGUGAGACAGUUCGGUCCCUAUCUGCCGUGGGCGCUGGAGAAUUGAGGGGGGCUGCUCCUAGUACGAGAGGACCGGAGUGGACGCAUCACUGGUGUUCGGGUUGUCAUGCCAAUGGCACUGCCCGGUAGCUAAAUGCGGAAGAGAUAAGUGCUGAAAGCAUCUAAGCACGAAACUUGCCCCGAGAUGAGUUCUCCCUGAGACUUUAAGUCUCCUGAAGGAACGUU